rnacentral:rRNA from 1 species
CCUACGGGUGGCUGCAGUGGGGAAUAUUGCACAAUGGGCGCAAGCCUGAUGCAGCCAUGCCGCGUGUGUGAAGAAGGCCUUCGGGUUGUAAAGCACUUUCAGCGGGGAGGAAGGCGGUGAGGUUAAUAACCUCAUCGAUUGACGCUACCCGCAGAAGAAGCACCGGCUAACUCCGUGCCAGCAGCCGCGGUAAUACGGAGGGUGCAAGCGUUAAUCGGAAUUACUGGGCGUAAAGCGCACGCAGGCGGUCUGUCAAGUCGGAUGUGAAAUCCCCGGGCUCAACCUGGGAACUGCAUUCGAAACUGGCAGGCUAGAGUCUUGUAGAAGGGGGUAGAAUUCCAGGUGUAGCGGUGAAAUGCGUAGAGAUCUGGAGGAAUACCGGUGGCGAAGGCGGCCCCCUGGACAAAGACUGACGCUCAGGUGCGAAAGCGUGGGGAGCAAACAGGAUUAGAUACCCGGGUAGUC